UGGGUUUGAUCGAGCUUCGACUACGCCGGAAAUUCGAAUCUUCGACGACACCGGAAGAAAAUCCUGGACAUCGAGAUUUCAACUGCAGAAUAUUCUCGAGUGAAGGAACAAAAACACCUGGCUUGAAGCCGCACAAUCUCCCUGCCUCGCAUAAACCUUGAUCCGACCAAGAUAACUUUCUUCCAAGACACGUUAACGGGAUAAAACCACACAAUCGCUGUUACUCGCAGAAACGUUGAUAGAGAAAAGUAAAGAGACCCGAUCGCUUCCAGUCCAGUAAAAAAAGGUGUUAGUCUCGAAACUCAACCAAAACUUCGGCUACUACCUGCGAGGAUCCACAAAGCGUCUUCUCUGCACCGAUCAAUCAUCUUUUUGAGGGAAGUAAUCAUGAGACAAGCCUAUUCACCUAACUUUUUGUCAUGUGGUCUCCGACAACCAUAGACUUAAACGACUGAUUGAAUUUACCUCCACCAGUGGAAAAUGUGUUUGUCUCGAAACUGAAGUAAAACUUCCGCUACUGCUAUAAAAUCCUCCUCCCGGCUUGCUUAAUCGCAUUCAUAAAAGAAAAUUUUGUUUCAGGAAAGUAAAGAGACCCGAUCGCCUCCAGUCCAGUAAAAAAAAAGGUGUUUGUCUCGAAACUCAACCAAAACUUCGGCUACUACCUUCCAGGAUCCACAAAGCGUCCUCUCUGCACCGAUCAAUCAUCUUUUCGAGGGAACUAAUCACGAGACAAGCCUAUUCACCUAACUUUUUGUCAUCUGGUCUUCAACAACCAUAGACUUAAACGACUGAUUGAAUUUACCUCCACCAGUGGAAAAUGUGUUUGUCUCGAAACUGAAGAAAGUAAAGAGACCCGAUCGCCUCCAGUCCAGUAAAAAAAAGGUGUUUGUCUCGAAACUCAACCAAAACUUCGGCUACUACCUGCCACGAUCCACGGAGUGUCUUCCCUGCUCCGGUCGAUCAUCCUCUCGCGGGAACUAAUCACGAGAUAAGAGAAGAAAGCCUAUUCACCUGACUUUUUGUCAUCUGGUCUGCGACAACCAUAGACUUAAAGGACCGAUUCCGAGGGCUUGCAGCGACUCGGACACUCGCUCGCACCCGCGAGAGCGCCGAUCUCUGACUGUUCUCCAAGAAAGAACAGCACUCUCUCUAUUUCCCUGGAGUAGCAGGAGAGGUAGAGUCAGCGGGAUCAGGCGGGAUCAGGAGGGAUCAGGCUGGACUCCUAUACGAACCCACCACGAGUGUGCCUCGGUGUACACGAAUGUACCGAUCCGGUUCUGGUCGCUCGGGAAACAGUAUAGGGAACGGUACGGCCCGGCUUUGAGCCUGCUAUACCGUGAUACGAGAGCAAAGACCGCAAGAGAGUAUUCGGUGAAGUAGACUCUGUCUUCGCGCCGAGUAGCAGGACUAGAAAGUACCGAUUACGCGAGUAAUCGUGCCGAUGACCCAACCAGGACUUCACCUUGAUCUCCUGGUUUCGGAUGAAGUUCACCGGGUGAACUUCACUCUCGAGGCUCUUAAAUCACCGUGAUGAACUUUCCUUUUAGUCUUUAUUGGACGUCAUGAGCCGUUAUGGACACGUUAUUAAAAAUGCACGGUAUAAUUAAGACAAUUCACUUUGAGUUUUACCGCGAUCCGGGACUAAAGGUUGUGGAAGAGUAACCGGUGGAGUAGACAUUGUCCCUGGACCAAGUACCAGGAAUAGAAAGUACCCAUUAUGCGAGCAAUCAUGCCUAGAACCAAAUCUGGGCUUCACCUUGAUCUCCUCUUCUCGACGAAGUUCAUCCGGUGAACUUCACUCCGUGUACAAAGACAGCUUGAAUUCCUUCAUUUAUAUCUUCUGAGUAUUUUGAUAGAUAUGCCGCAUUGUUAAAAAUGCUCAAUAUACUUGAGGAAAUUGGGUACUUUCAUUGUGCCGAACAUUGAUAUAUGAUCAUUUAAUUGAGAAAAGUAUACUUAUCGAAUCGAUGUGCCGAAUUUUGGCGUUAAGUAUUCGGUGCCGCUCGCGCGGGCUUUUAAAUGUAUUUGGCGCGAAACUCUAUCGAGUUUCCCAGUCGACCAAUGUCCAAUUUUAUCACGAUUCAAAGCAUGUAUAGAUGUUAACAUUUACUCGAAGUCGAGUAGAGCGGCUCCUGUAAGUGAAUUUGUGCGAGUUGAAUUUAUAAUUUCAUGACAAUACGAGGAUAAGUUAUAUCUCGUUAUUUAUAUAAAUAAUGUAUUCCAGGUUUUUAAGUGGAUGCCUUUUACGUGAACGUACUACUCGUUUGUAAGAAAAUCUCAUUUUGAGGUAAUUUAUGAUUCCGAUAAUUCUCUGCGAGUACAUUGGGCAAGUGAUUAUACCUAUCAGUGACCUUAGGUUUCACCUUGACGUUUUCGUUAUGGAUCUAUAAAACUGCAAAUAUAUUUUACAUUCAAAUUCCUUUUUGCAGGGAGAGAAAUAUGCUGAAUCGAGAUUCCCAGAUUUUCAACGGUGAAGUAAACCAAUUUUAUAACGGUUUAGCAAUCGACGGGGCGAAUCUGAAGACAUUGACCCCAGUCGAUAAAAACGGCAGGAAAAUAAAUCUGGAAGGAAAUCAUUCCAGAAGACUGAUCUCUCUAGCCUGUCGACAAAUUGAUCAAUUAUACCUAACAUUUAUCCGAUGUCUAACAAAUGAUAUUCUUAAUUAGAUUCUUCACAAGUCACGUCAGCAAAUUUAGCGUAAGGAAUUGCAAUUAAGAAAAACCAAACGGCAACAAAUAGCUUCGCCUUCUCCGUUUUCUUCGUAUUUCCCUCACUCGUAUCAUUUCAAGGAGGUCGAGUAAGAUAUAGAGGAAGAGAGUGGAAGGACGAGUACUUAUUAGGAAACGGAAAUUAAUUCGAAAUUGCGUUAACGCGAUAACGCGUCGGCAAUGAUUAUGGCUAGGGAGCUUUCACUCUAAAAUGCAUCCAGAAGUGUAGCACCAGCCGAUAGAGAGUCGCGAUUUGAUCCGCUUGGAUGGUGAGGUAACAAAACGAGAAAUCGCUUGAGUUCUUCGAGGAUGAAGCCUCGGAAGUGGACCCGCUUACACGGUUUUUAGAGGAUCUUCGUCUGCCUUAGAGACACUGAUUUUUAUCGGCGUUUCCAAAAU